AAGUCGUAACAAGGUUUCCGUAGGUGAACCUGCGGAAGGAUCAUUCUCGAUUUAUGAAGAUCAUUCUUCAACCUUAUCAUUGUGCACUGUUAUCACCGCUUGGCGGCUCGAAAGGGUCGUCCUGUGGUACCAUUUUUUGUUGACCUAAACCAAUCAAUUAACGUAUCUCCAAUCUCUAUACAACUUUUAGCAAUGGAUCUCUAGGCUCUC
rnacentral:misc_RNA from 1 species